rnacentral:rRNA from 1 species
UUGGAGGCAGCAGUGGGGAAUUUUGCGCAAUGGGCGAAAGCCUGACGCAGCAACGCCGCGUGGAGGAUGAAGGCCUUCGGGUCGUAAACUCCUGUCGAUGGGGACGAAAGCCUCGCGAGAGGUAUGACUGUACCCGUUGAGGAAGCCACGGCUAACUCCGUGCCAGCAGCCGCGGUAAUACGGAGGUGGCAAGCGUUGUUCGGAAUUACUGGGCGUAAAGGGCGCGUAGGCGGCCGGACAAGUCAGAUGUGAAAGCCCCGGGCUCAACUCGGGAAUUGCAUCUGAAACUGUUUGGCUUGAGUCCUGGAGGGGGUAGUGGAAUUCCCAGUGUAGCGGUGAAAUGCGUAGAUAUUGGGAGGAACACCUGCGGCGAAGGCGGCUACCUGGACAGUGACUGACGCUGAGGCGCGAAAGCUAGGGGAGCGAACGGGAUUAGAUACCCGGGUAGUCCG